ensembl:snoRNA
UUUCCCAUAUGAUUGUCACAUUUUCUUUUACUGGUAGAUUAUAAUGGCUAUCUAUGGCUUGUGGGAUAGAGUGAAAUUGCCAUAAUUCAAAGGAGGAGAAUUUCUUUGUGUCCUCCUCCUAUGUGAGAUGACUGAACAACGAAAC